GGGAGGGGUCAGAUAUCUGGGUACAUGUGCCGUGUAUAGGACGCAGGCGAGGAGUGCAGCUCGGGCUCAGGAAGCCACGCCUGACCAUUAGAGCAGCAGCAGCAGCAGCUCAGAGACUUCAGCAAAGACCUGCAGCAGCAACCACUGCAUACAGAUGUUGUCUUCUGACUGAGACUCAUCAGAGCUUCAGUAUUAAAGUGGUUGUGCUGGUGGAAAGUCAGGUGACUAUGAUGGCGUCGGGGGCACCAUUGACUCGGACCAAGAACACGCCUCCUAUGACCCACAGUGGCUCUGACCGUCCGCCAGCUCGUGUCAGAGCGGUUUCAAACCUGCUGCCAGGCUGAGAGACGGCGGUCAGUCAGUGAAAACAUCACAGUGAAAGAGGAAGUGGAACAGGAAGUGACAGGGAGGGGUGGUCGUGUCAUACAGGAGCAAAACAGACAGAAGAGGAUUUGUGUGAGGCACUCGAAGGCAGCAGGUAAGAGGACAGAGAGAGAGAGAGAGAGAGAGUGUGUGUGUGUGUGUGUGUGUGUGUGUGUGUGUGUGUGUGUGUGUGUGUGUGUGUGUGUGUGUGUGUGUGUGUGUGGAGUGCACUGCGUGGACGUGGAGAACACGGUCACCGUCGGUGUUUCUGUGUUCGUUCUGACUGAUGAAGGAGAUGAAAUAACGUCUCUAUGAGUGCGUGUUAUUGAACAUGCAUUAUAAUGAGUUUGCAGAGCUGUUGUUGUGUUUGCCCUCUCAGUCUCUUCAAAACUGAUUUUUAAUGUCGCUGUUUUCACCCGGGUCAAUAAACAUCAAAGUUACGGGAAAGUCGUCUGUUGCUGAAAAUGACCUGAUAUCACUGAGACGUGUUUGACGUGUGUGUGUAACGUUCAGGCUGCAAAGUUGUUUGCAUCGGGUUAAAUUCCUGCGUCAGUGUGUGUGGAGCUGCCCGUCGCUCCUGCAGGAACGUGGACGCCAUCCUUACUUUGGUGCUUUUAAAGUCCAGAGUCUCUGUUGUUAUCCCGGGACUCCUGCUCUGCAGACGCACCUGUACACACAAUGGACAGCCCUCAGCCCAGGCUGUGGUCACCGAAGUAACCAUGUAAUGGAUUUACUGUCAGGUCACAUGUGAGUCAUUGGUGUCCUGCGCUCUUCUUGGCUUGAGGGCUCUGAUGCUGAUUUCAUUGUGACGCCUCAGGCUCAUGGCACCUCUGUGACUCCCAGAUAUCAGCUUUUCUUGUAGUCACACGAUCACUCGUCUUCAUGGUUAGCUAGACACAGGCUCACGUUACCUGCCUGUCCUCCCCUCAGUAAGGCAGGAAAAAGAGGAGGCGGC
ensembl:lncRNA